rnacentral:lncRNA from 1 species
UUUCAGGUAUUCCACUCCAUGUACCUGAAAUAGCUUCCAGAGAGAAGACAUGUGGGAUAUGACGUGAUGAUCCAUGCCUCCAUGCUUGCUGCUCUGGAUCAUAACAACAAUGCAGUCAGGGAACAGAUGAUGGAGUCUUUAAAGGAGAAGCAGGAGAAAGUCGGUCCAGUGGAGGUGCAGAACAGAGGAGACCUGCUGGGUGAACUUGCUGCUCUGCCAGUGCAGGUCUGUCUGUGGUUUACUCUGUCUGUCUGUGGUUUACUCUGUCUGUGGUUUACUCUGUCUGUCUGUCUGUCUGUGGUUUACUCUGUCUGUGGUUUACUCUGUCUGUCCGUCUGUGGUUUACUCCGUCUGUCCGUCUGUGGUUUACUCUGUCUGUCUGUGGUUUACUCUGUCUGUGGUUUACUCUGUCUGUCUGUGGUUUACUCUGUCUGUGGUUUACUCUGUCUGUCCGUCUGUGGUUUACUCCGUCUGUGGUUUACUCUGUCUGUCCGUCUGUGGUUUACUCCGUCUGUCCGUCUGUGGUUUACUCUGUCUGUCUGUGGUUUACUCUGUCUGUGGUUUACUCUGUCUGUCUGUGGUUUACUCUGUCUGUGGUUUACUCUGUCUGUGGUUUACUCUGUCUGUCUGUGGUUUACUCUGUCUGUGGUUUACUCUGUCUGUCUGUGGUUUACUCUGUCUGUGGUUUACUCUGUCUGUCUGUGGUUUACUCUGUCUGUGGUUUACUCUGUCUGUCUGUGGUUUACUCUGUCUGUCCGUCUGUGGUUUACUCUGUGUCUGUCUGUGGUUUACUCUGUCUGUGGUUUACUCUGUCUGUCUGUGGUUUACUCUGUCUGUGGUUUACUCUGUCUGUCCGUCUGUGGUUUACUCCGUCUGUGGUUUACUCUGUCUGUCCGUCUGUGGUUUACUCCGUCUGUCCGUCUGUGGUUUACUCUGUCUGUCUGUGGUUUACUCUGUCUGUGGUUUACUCUGUCUGUCUGUGGUUUACUCUGUCUGUGGUUUACUCUGUCUGUCUGUGGUUUACUCUGUCUGUCUGUGGUUUACUCUGUCUGUCCGUCUGUGGUUUACUCUGUGUCUGUCUGUGGUUUACUCUGUCUGUGGUUUACUCUGUCUGUCUGUGGUUUACUCUGUCUGUGGUUUACUCUGUCUGUCCGUCUGUGGUUUACUCUGUCUGUGGUUUACUCUGUCUGUCCGUCUGUGGUUUACUCCGUCUGUCCGUCUGUGGUUUACUCUGUCUGUCUGUGGUUUACUCUGUCUGUGGUUUACUCUGUCUGUCUGUGGUUUACUCUGUCUGUGGUUUACUCUGUCUGUGGUUUACUCUGUCUGUGGUUUACUCUGUCUGUGGUUUACUCUGUGUCUGUCUGUGGUUUACUCUGUCUGUGGUUUACUCUGUCUGUCCGUCUGUGGUUUACUCUGUGUCUGUCUGUGGUUUACUCCGUCUGUGGUUUACUCUGUCUGUGGUUUACUCUGUCUGUCUGUCUGUGGUUUACUCUGUCUGUCCGUCUGUGGUUUACUCUGUCUGUGGUUUACUCUGUCUGUGGUUUACUCUGUCUGUGGUUUACUCCGUCCGUCUGUGGUUUACUCCGUCCGUCUGUGGUUUACUCCGUCCGUCUGUGGUUUACUCUGUCUGUGGUUUACUCUGUCCGUCCGUCCGUCUGUGGUUUACUCCGUCCGUCUGUGGUUUACUCCGUCCGUCUGUGGUUUACUCCGUCCGUCUGUGGUUUACUCUGUCUGUCUGUGGUUUACUCUGUCUGUGGUUUACUCUGUCUGUCUGUGGUUUACUCUGUCUGUGGUUUACUCUGUCUGUGGUUUACUCUGUCUGUCUGUGGUUUACUCUGUCUGUCCGUCUGUGGUUUACUCUGUGUCUGUCUGUGGUUUACUCUGUCUGUGGUUUACUCUGUCUGUCUGUGGUUUACUCUGUCUGUGGUUUACUCUGUCUGUCCGUCUGUGGUUUACUCUGUCUGUGGUUUACUCUGUCUGUCCGUCUGUGGUUUACUCCGUCUGUCCGUCUGUGGUUUACUCUGUCUGUCUGUGGUUUACUCUGUCUGUGGUUUACUCUGUCUGUCUGUGGUUUACUCUGUCUGUGGUUUACUCUGUCUGUCUGUGGUUUACUCUGUCUGUCUGUGGUUUACUCUGUCUGUGGUUUACUCUGUGUCUGUCUGUGGUUUACUCUGUCUGUGGUUUACUCUGUGUCUGUCUGUGGUUUACUCUGUCUGUGGUUUACUCUGUCUGUCCGUCUGUGGUUUACUCUGUGUCUGUCUGUGGUUUACUCCGUCUGUGGUUUACUCUGUCUGUGGUUUACUCUGUCUGUCUGUCUGUGGUUUACUCUGUCUGUCCGUCUGUGGUUUACUCUGUCUGUGGUUUACUCUGUCUGUCUGUCUGUGGUUUACUCUGUCUGUCCGUCUGUGGUUUACUCUGUCUGUGGUUUACUCUGUCUGUGGUUUACUCCGUCUGUGGUUUACUCCGUCCGUCUGUGGUUUACUCCGUCCGUCUGUGGUUUACUCUGUCUGUGGUUUACUCUGUCCGUCCGUCCGUGGUUUACUCCGUCCGUCUGUGGUUUACUCCGUCCGUCUGUGGUUUACUCUGUCCGUCUGUGGUUUACUCCGUCCGUCUGUGGUUUACUCUGUCUGUCUGUGGUUUACUCUGUCUGUGGUUUACUCUGUCCGUCCGUCCGUCUGUCUGUGGUUUACUCUGUCUGUCUGUGGUAGGGGUGGGUGAGGGAUAUUGUUUGCGAUUGCUGUUGGAGUUAUUCAAAUUUAUAAAUAUGGUUAUGAAAUACCGUAAGUAACAAAAUAAAUACAUGCUUCAACAAAUAGUUGCACGAGUUCAGCUUGGACUAAUAAUGUGUAUCACUGAGAUAAUCUCACACACAUUUUAACUAUAAAAUAUCUUAUUAUUGUUUACAAUUGUUUUGAAGACAAAUUCAUUAACUUCGGGCUUCACGUCACAUGUUUACACCUACCUCUGAGGGGCUUCUGGAAAAGGAGGAAUGUUAUGCCUCCGUUUUAGAAAGCCGAUCACAGCAGCUAUCACAUAUCACCUAGCCAAGAUACGGACCCAAUACACACUGUACAACAUGAGGGAUUAAAGGAUGCCCUCUCAUCUUGGAGACUAUUUUUUUUUUUUUUGUAAAAAUCAUUUCUCAUCCAAUGAAAACAUCGUAGUAUGGCAGAGGCAUAGUAGUAUGCCUCUGUCAUACUACUAUGUUGUUUUGUUCUGUUCAAGUUCAUCAGUGCAAUAAACAUGUUGUGAAAAAAUUUGUGCCAGAGAAUCGUGAUCUCAAUUCUGAGCAAAAAAAUUGUGAUUCACAUUUUUUCCAGAAUCGUGCAGCCCUACUCCACGACUGGGAGAGUGCUGCCCGACCCAAUCAGAACCGGGUCACCAAUAGGUAGCCUCUAAACAUCAUUGUAAUGUAAAACUGUGGGGACUCUGCCGCGGCGCUGUCCAGGUUGAUGACCCUCCUGCCGGUUAGCUAGGAGCAGCUACGGAGCUGUCCAGAGUGCUUAGUGGUCCCGCCUUAUUUAUAUUAAACAUGUGUUGAAUAAAGAGUAUCAUGGAUUAAACUGAGUUUGAUUGCUGGCUGUUUGUAUGCUUUUCUGCCCAACAGAUCAUAAUGUAUGAAAUUACACCAAAUAACACCCUUAUUUUGCACAUACAUUUGAUUGACACAUCUAUAAGAGGACCAUGUUAUUUUUAUAUAUCAAUAGUAUGUUUGCUAUCCAUCCAUCAGCUGCAAUCAGUAACUCAAGUCCUCAGAUGAAAACCCAUAAAAGUUACUGUUAAGUAUUAAUCUGAAUUUGGAACUUUACUGUCCUACUUUUUUCAUUGAUUGAUUUCUGGAUCAAAAACACAUAAGACGGUUGUAGGAGCCAAAAUGUGCAUCUGUUCUGAAUUGUUCACUUUUGUUUAGGCAGCGCACAUUAUCAUUAUUGUUUUUUGUUUUGUCAUCUUGUUAUGAUUUCAGGUAAGAGGAAGUGGGUUUGGCCUCCACAUUAUUUCACCUGCACAGUUUGUUCGCGGGUACGCUAGUAGACAAAGAAGGCUGAGUGACUCUUUGACCGUAAUUUUUUUGUAACUUUGGCCAUCAUUUUUCUACUUGAUUUUGACCAUAACUUUUGUUAAUAAACUCAAGAAACUUAUCUGGAAUUGGACUAAAGUUUUUCAUUCAACGAGACACAGAAAGGAGCCUGCUUUGCCUAUAAGCGGAUUAUUAUUAAAUUAAAUAAGACGCUACAACGGUAAUCCAAAAGGAUGACAUGCAAAAGUGUCAGACUUAUUUCCAGCAUGGUCCUUGGUGUUACACAUAAAACAACUAAACAAGAGGCAGACACAACACAGAACACAAGAACUUCAGGCCAUGUUUGUCAUUUAAUACAGUGGACUGAGGGUUGUGUUAGUUUACCUGUGCACACAGUAGGCUAUACUGCACAAUUACAUUCUUACAGUUUAAGGCAAACAGCUUGUAGCAUUAUUUCAUAAAUGAAUAGUAAGGUUCUUUUUUAAAUGAAUGCUCUGGUUGCAGGUCUUACAGAUAUGCCUCAUAUCGUCAGUUUACAUGGCGGAUGCACGGCAGACGAGGGAGAAGAAUCCGCAGAGUCAUUCCUGCAUGUGCAGUUAACAAAAUAAGAAAUGUCUACCCAGAACCAAGUGGAAUCUAUACAGGGUUUAAGGAUGGAGAUAUUGAUGAUACAGAAGUAGAUGAAUCAUGGAGAUAUUUCAAUAACUGUGAAACACUUGAACAUUUGAAUGCAUUUCAUCAGGAGCACUUUCAUUUCCUGCAAUGUUUAAACUACUUUUCUGUUUCAGUCAUGCAGGGUUCAGCUAAAUCGGCUAGAAUACAAAACUGUUGAUGGUUUAAAAGAAAAUGUUUUGACAAAAUGACAGUAAAUCUGUUUUAUGCUGUUUGGAAUAUGCUGUUGAACACAGACCCCUUGACUAGAAUGUAAAAUGAAAGUCAAUGUGGAUGUAAAAAAUGCUGGUGUGCACAUCAUGUGUUUGUAAUGAUGCUUGAACUACUUGAAACGUGAGGACUGCUGUGUUUGAACAAUGAUCUGUGAUCUGGGCAGUCUGUCUUGUGGAGCCAUGAUCUGAGUUUGAGUCUCUCUCAUGUCCAUGCCCUGGUUUGAAUCUGACACAGAGGAGAGAACAGCUGCCACCAGAGCCUUCAUGUAUCCACAGUCCUUCUGAACAGACACUGGUCUUGCUCUGAAUCUCUCGUGGACUUGGCUCCAUGAGAUUCUGAACUUGGGUUCACCGACACUCUCCCCAUCUUGGUAAACAGCCUGUUCAAAAACAGAAACGUGGAAAUAGCUUAAAAAUGUAUAUAGGAGCAUUAUGAGAUUUCUUGUGGCAGUUUGCCCUUGAUUUCUGACACUGAGAUUGGUUUUAGUUGUAUGGUUUAUUUGAUAGGGACAGAUACAAACACAGACAGACUGAAAACAGCUUUCCCAUACAAGUAUCACUGUAUUUAUGCUAAACUGCAACACCUGUCCCUAGAGGGGCUGUUGUAAAAUAAUAAUAAUAAAUGAUUAAAAAGCAAGAGAUAAAAAGAAGGAUGAACUUGGCAAAAAGACAGACUACAAUUAAACACACAUAUUGUAACAUAACUAGGGCUGAAACGAUUCAUCGAGUUACUCGAUUAACUCGAUUAUAAAAAUUCCUCGAGGCCAAAACUCUGCCUCGAAGCCUCGUUAAAUUCCUAUGACGCGCAGGGAUCUGAUUGUUCCACACGUUGUUCAGGAAGCACACCAGUGCGUCAUACAUGUUGAAUUUAGCUGGCUGGCACAAUUUAGCUCUGUAUUUGUAGUGAUGUGAUGCGGUUUGACUAGAUAUGAUGUUUAGCUUUGAUGUUUUUAACCUCUUCAACCCGAGCUGCGCAUGUUGCAUUAUACACCCUAUAAGAGCAUGCUAACCAUGUAGCAACAUAUUAAUGCAGCACACCAACUUAAUGGAAAGAAGCUCGGCUAAACGCUCAUGA